rnacentral:sRNA from 1 species
UUAGUGAUAGCAGUCAUAAAUCUCAGGGCACCGUGGAGUGGAGGCAGUUUAUCUGGGAGCAGCUCUGUUGUUCCUCAUCAGUUUUUCCUUGACCUAGAAAGAGAAUUGCUUUGAUAAGGCUAAGCCAUCACUGUACCUCCUCCCCACAGUCUGAUGCAUGGUCUUCAGGAGGGGAGGGCAUGGGCAAAGGAAAAGGCUGUACCACGUCCUGCUUCUCCUCACCUAUUACUUCCCUUCUCCAAGCUGAAUGCUGAGAACAAGAAGGGAAAUGAGGGCUACAAGCUGUUUCGGGGCCUGUCUGCUCUUGGGUCUGCUCAGUGGAAAUGGGGGGAAUAGACAUAGCACUUCCCAGAGCCAUUCAUGUAUAUUGACAUCCCAUUUUAUGGAGAUAGAAACAGACUGACUUUAGCCUGGCGUGGUGGCGCACACCUGUAAUUCCAGCUGCUGGGGAGGUUGAGGCAUGAGAUUCGCUUGAACCUGGGAGGCGGAGGCUUCAGUGAGCUGAGAUCGUACCAUUUGCACUCCAGCCUGGGUGACAGAGCAAGACUCUGUCUCAAAAAAAAAAAAAAAAAAAGAGAGAGAGAGAGACUGACUGAUGUGAGGGGCUCUUUAAUUUCACAUCCUCCAGAACCAGCCAUCCUGGUCAUGCACCACUCCAUGAAGCCCCACCCAGCCAUCACUGCCACACUCCUGGACUUCAUGUGCCGCGUAAGUGUUAGAGCUCUCUUUUCUCCCCAUGCCUGGAUGAGCAGAAUUCAGUGUAUCUCCCCUAAUCUCCCAGUGAACGGGUCUUCUCGGUAUGCCUUGACUGAGAACAGAAAUGGUCAUGCGUCCUAUCCCCCAAGUUAAUAAAUGCUUCCCUUCCAUAUUCCACUGUCUGCACUUGGAUCUUCCCAUUUUCUGUGGGGUUUCUCAAUCACAAGGAUGGUGACUCAAGGUAGAAUCUGGUUUCCUUGGGGAGCAGCCAGGUCCAGUAAGAAUUUCUCAUUUGAGUGGCCUGGAGUGGUCAGGAAGUCCAGUUCUCUCUGCAGCCAUACUCCCCAGUGUCCCCUGAUCAAAACCAAAGCAGCUUUUCAGAUCUAAUUCAGCGGAAGCCUCUGGAUGGAGUCCUGUGCUCAUUUUUCCCCUCCUUCUUCGCUUCCAGAUCAUUCCCAACUUCUAUCCACCAUUGGAGGGCCACGUGCGGCAGGGUGUCUUUUCCUCCCUCAACCACAUUGUGGAGAAACGGGUCUUGGCGUAAGGAAUUUGGUGGGGGAAGGAGGUUGUUUUCCCAUUUUUCAUUAGGUCCAGGUGUAUCCAAAUGUUGCCAUAGCACUGCUGGCCCUUUUCUCUGACAGGUGUAAAAAGUAUUGGCUCUACCUCAGACUGCUGGGCAUAUGUCUUCUUGGCUCUUAGAGGAAUUUCUCUCCUGCCAUCGUAUUACAAAGGUCUUCAAAUGCCUUCAUGUUCCCUGUUGACCCCCUUCAGGGAUCUGAGUAUGGUCCAGUUAGACUGAUUGUGCUUAGACCUAUCUCAACUCCAUGUUGAGUUAGAAAUGAGAAGCUCUGGCCAGACACAGUGGCUCAUGCCUGUAAUCCCAGCACUUUGGGAGGCCAAGGUGGGCAGAUCACCUGAGGUUAGGAAUUUGAGACCUGCCUGGCCAACAUGGCAAAACCCGUGUCUACUAAAAAUACAAAAAUUAGCCAGGUGUGAUGGUGCACACCUGUAAUCCUAGCUACUUGAGAGGCUGAGGCACAAGAAUCGCUUGAAUCCGGGAGGUGGAGGUUACAGUGAGCCGAGAUUGUGCCACUGCACUCCAGCCUAGGUGAUGAGAGUGACACUGUGUCUCAAAAAAAAAUAAAAAUAAGAGAAGCUCUGAUAUUGACCUUCAUCAUGUUCCCCAUUUAGACACCUAGCUCCCCUGUUUGACAACCCUAAGUUGGAUAAGGAGCUGCGGGCAAUGCUGAGAGAGAAGUUUCCUGAGUUCUGCAGCUCACCCUCCCCACCUGUGGAAGUCAAAAUUGAGGAGCCAGUUUCCAUGGAGAUGGACAACCAUAUGUCGGAUAAGGAUGAGAGUUGCUAUGACAAUGCAGAGGCAGCCUUCAGUGACGAUGAAGAGGAUCUCAAC